AUUGAACGCUGGCGGCAGGCCUAACCCAUGCAAGUCGAGCGGAGCGGCGGACGGGUGAGUACUGCCUAGGAAUCUGCCUGGUAGUGGGGGAUAACGUCCGGAAACGGUCGCUAAUACCGCAUACUAUCAGAUGAGCCUAGGUCGGCUUAGCUAGUUGGGGGGGUAAAGGCCUACCAAGGCGACGAUCCGUAACUGGUCUGCGAGGAUGAUCAGGCACACUGGAACUGAGACACGGUCCAGACUCCUACGGGAGGCAGCAGUGGGGAAUAUUGGACAAUGGGCGAAAGCCUGAUCCAGCCAUGCCGCGUGUGUGAAGAAGGUCUUCGGAUUGUAAAGCACUUUAAGUUGGGAGGCGGUACCUGCAGAAUAAGCACCGGCUAACUACGUGCCAGCCGCCGCGGUAAUAC
rnacentral:rRNA from 1 species